AUUGAACGCUGGCGGCAUGCCUUACACAUGCAAGUCGAACGGUAACAGGUCUUCGGAUGCUGACGAGUGGCGAACGGGUGAGUAAUACAUCGGAACGUGCCCGAUCGUGGGGGAUAACGAAGCGAAAGCUUUGCUAAUACCGCAUAAGAUCUAAGGAUGAAAGCGGGGGAUCGCAAGACCUCGCGCGAUUGGAGCGGCCGAUAUCAGAUUAGCUAGUUGGUGGGGUAAAGGCCCACCAAGGCGACGAUCUGUAGCUGGUCUGAGAGGACGACCAGCCACACUGGAACUGAGACACGGUCCAGACUCCUACGGGAGGCAGCAGUGGGGAAUUUUGGACAAUGGGCGCAAGCCUGAUCCAGCAAUGCCGCGUGCAGGAUGAAGGCCUUCGGGUUGUAAACUGCUUUUGUACGGAACGAAACGGCCCUUUCUAAUACAGGGGGCUAAUGACGGUACCGUAAGAAUAAGCACCGGCUAACUACGUGCCAGCAGCCGCCGUAA
rnacentral:rRNA from 1 species